AGUGAACGCUGGCGGUAGGCCUAACACAUGCAAGUCGAACGGCAGCACAGUAAGAGCUUGCUCUUACGGGUGGCGAGUGGCGGACGGGUGAGGAAUACAUCGGAAUCUACUUUUUCGUGGGGGAUAACGUAGGGAAACUUACGCUAAUACCGCAUACGACCUACGGGUGAAAGCAGGGGAUCUUCGGACCUUGCGCGAUUGAAUGAGCCGAUGUCGGAUUAGCUAGUUGGUGGGGUAAAGGCCCACCAAGGCGACGAUCCGUAGCUGGUCUGAGAGGAUGAUCAGCCACACUGGAACUGAGACACGGUCCAGACUCCUACGGGAGGCAGCAGUGGGGAAUAUUGGACAAUGGGCGCAAGCCUGAUCCAGCCAUACCGCGUGGGUGAAGAAGGCCUUCUGGUUGUAAAGCCCUUUUGUUGGGAAAGAAAAGCAGCAGGUUAAUACCCCGCUGUUCUGACGGUACCCAAAGAAUAAGCACCGGCUAACUUCGUG
rnacentral:rRNA from 1 species